rnacentral:rRNA from 1 species
UACGUAGGGUGCAAGCGUUGUCCGGAAUUAUUGGGCGUAAAGAGCUUGUAGGCGGUUUGUCGCGUCUGCUGUGAAAUUUCGGGGCUCAACCCCGAACUUGCAGUGGGUACGGGCAGACUAGAGUGUGGUAGGGGAGACUGGAAUUCCUGGUGUAGCGGUGAAAUGCGCAGAUAUCAGGAAGAACACCAAUGGCGAAAGCAGCUCGCUGGGACGUUACUGACGCUGAGACGCGAAAGCGUGGGGAGCAAACAGG